UGGGGAAUUUUGGACAAUGGGCGAAAGCCUGAUCCAGCAAUGCCGCGUGUGUGAAGAGGGCCUUCGGGUUGUAAAGCACUUUUGUCCGGAAAGAAAUCCUUGGCUCUAAUACAGUCGGGGGAUGACGGUACCGGAAGAAUAAGCACCGGCUAACUACGUGCCAGCAGCCGCGGUAAUACGUAGGGUGCAAGCGUUAAUCGGAAUUACUGGGCGUAAAGCGUGCGCAGGCGGUUUGCUAAGACCGAUGUGAAAUCCCCGGGCUCAACCUGGGAACUGCAUUGGUGACUGGCAGGCUAGAGUAUGGCAGAGGGGGGUAGAAUUCCACGUGUAGCAGUGAAAUGCGUAGAGAUGUGGAGGAAUACCGAUGGCGAAGGCAGCCCCCUGGGCCAAUACUGACGCUCAUGCACGAAAAGCGUGGGGAGCAAAACAGGAUUAGAUACCCUGGUAGUCCACGCCCUAAAACGAUGUCAACUAGUUGUUGGGGAUUCAUUUCCUUAGUAACGUAGCUAACGCGUGAAGUUGACCGCCUGGGGAGUACGGUCGCAAGAUUAAAACUCAAAGGAAUUGAC
rnacentral:rRNA from 1 species